UCUAAUCAGGUGUAUUUGCAUUUAGAUUUUUCGUGUCUGAGGGGUUAUAGUUUUGAUAACGGUUAGGU
rnacentral:tRNA from 1 species